rnacentral:misc_RNA from 1 species
GUUAAGAUUUCCUAGGAGUGUGAAAGAAAGGCCAUUCUGUGGUUCUAAUGAGGACAAGCAGCUGCGUUGGUGGAGGGCAGUGGCACUGCUCUUAUUAAUUGAGUUCACAUUUUCAACCUAGUGGGCCUAUUAGAGUUUUAUUGCUGAUGUUGGAAGCUGAUAUUACGUCCUGUUAAUAGGAUCGCUGGAAUGAGUCAAGCUGAUAAUACUUAUUCUGUU